AAACAUAGAAAUUUGGUCCUAGCCUUUUUAUGAGUUCUCAGUAAAAUUACACAUGCAAGCAUCCCCGCCCCAGUAAGAAUGCCCUCCAGAUCACCUGGGUCAAAAGGAGCAGGUAUCAAGCACGUAUAAACACAGCUCAUAACACUUUGCUCAACCACACCCCCACGGGAAACAGCAGUGAUACAUUUUAAGCAAUAAGUGAAAGUAUGACUAAACUAUACUAAUAUUUAGGGCUGGUAAAUUUUGUGCCAGCCACCGCGGCCACACAAUUAACCCAAGCUAAUAAAACUCGGCAUAAAGAGUGUUUCAGGUCUGCACUCAAUAAAGUUAAGCUCCAGCUAAAUCGCAAAAAAACUCCAGCUGAAAUAAAAUGUACCACGGAAGUUACUUUAAUGUCCUGAGGACACAACAGCUAAGGCACAAACUGAGAUUAGAAACCCCACUCUGCUUAGCCCCAAACCCAAACGGUUAUAUUAACAAGACUCUUCGCUAGAAUACAUGCAGCAGCUUAAAACUCAAAGGACUUGGCAGUGCUUUAUAUCCUUCUAGAGGAGCCUGUUCUAUAAUCGAUAAACCCCAAUACACCUAACCAUCUCUUGUCAAUCAGCCUAUAUACCACCAUCUUCAGCAAACCCUAAAAAAAAAGCAUAAAGUAAGCACAAGGGUGCACAUUAAAACAUUAGGUCAAGUUGUAGCCUAUGGGAUGAUAAGAAAUGGGCUACAUUUUCUACAUCCAGAAAAAUCUUAUGAUAACCUUCAUGAAAUCUGAAGGUUCAAGGAAGAUUUAGUAGUAAAUCAAGAAUAGAAUGCUUGAUUGAAUAAGGCCAUAAGGCACGCACACAAUGCCCAUCACCCUCCUCAAGUAGUACUCUAGAAAUCACUAUUACUAAUAAUUGUCUACACACAUAUAGAGGAGAUAAGUCAUAACAUGGUAAGUGUACUGGAAAGUGCGCCUGGAUAAACCAAAAU
rnacentral:ncRNA from 1 species